GGCUCCUGCUCUGCUUGUGCUGUGCUCCUGUUGUGCCUCCAAAGAGCUGCUGUUAGUACAAUUGCAUGUGACUGCCUCUGAAACAGUAAUGGAUGAUGUCUUCAUAGUGCAACAGUGUGACUGGAAAUGUUAUUCGCAGUUUGCUGACAGAUAUUCAGAAAAAAGGUAGAAAAAUGAUGAAAUGCUGCAACAGGAAUAUCUGUACAAUAAGGAGAUUGGAGGAUGCUUUUCUGCACAAUUUUAUCAUUCCAAUGGUCUGGAGGAUCUGGACAAUUGAAAACCAACAAGUAAAUAAAGCCCUAUCUAUAAGAUACCCAAGUGCUGGAUAAGUAUUGAGUGGUGAGGAGGAAUGUUGAAACGAUCAUGUGAGGCUAAACGGUGCUGUAUGGACUGAGUGACUGAAACAACAUUCUAAUCAAAUCUGACAGCUCUAUUGCAUUAUAAUUAUAGACUGCCAGAGGCGCUUUUUAGACUAUCAGUACUUUUGGGAUAGUUUGCAUCUAAAUUAAAAUUGAACCUCAGAGCAGUUUAAUGGGGAUAUGUUUCCAAGGAGUUUCAAAAAUGUGAAAGACACUAACUGAUUAGCAUUGUGCACUGU